AUGGCUCGAGGUCUCGCCGUUGCGAUGCUCCUGCUCGUCGCCAUCGCGGCGGUAGCACCAUUGUCCUACGCUGGCUCAGAGGUCGCUCUUACCGAUGGAGUGGCAACUACCACUACAACCGGUGAAAGCUUCUCAACCGGCCUCCCGCUCUACCGAGAAAUCGGGAAACCCGCUAAGGAUGCUGCCAACGCUGCUGGUGAUUCCGUGGUUAGUGGCGGCCUCGCCUCUGGCCUCCCACUUUACCAGGAAACUGGGUCGGGAGAGAAGAAAGCUUAG
rnacentral:rRNA from 1 species